GAAUAAUUACAAGAAAAUGAAAAUGAGACCGUAUGUUAUAAAGGAAACCAACUCAAUCAUUUUUCCAGUGUUACAUUAGCACCACCUUUAUUAUUGUGAGAUCCUCAUAAUCCUAACAAACAUCUCAAUCUCAUCAAAACAAUACGAAAAACCCUAUCAUAAUCAUUGGUGACGCAAGAAUAAAAUUGAAAAUAAGAGGAAACACAGAUGAAUAGAGCGACAAAAUAAACAUGUUAGAGAUGUGUAACCUUCAAAAUAUCAGCCUAUAUCAGAAAUCACUUGAUUUAUACAUUUGAUAGAUAAUAAAGAAAAUUACUCAUAAAAGAUAGAAAAAAAAGGAAAAUAUGACAAUUUUUACGUAGUACGUAUUUCUUUAGCCUUUGUAUUUUGUUUAUACAAUUAUAAAGUGAUUAUGAACCAGAGAUUUCUAUUAAAUAAUGUAAGCUAAAUAUUUCAAUUAAGUACAUCCUCAAUUAUUUAAAUCAAUCAAACAUGUAAUGAUUAACAAACCUUGACAAAAAUCGUUUAGAAAGAUAUGUAUUGAACAUCAAAAUAAAUUAAAUAUAUACUUAUAUCCUAAAGAACACAAAAUGUCAUCUUCUAUAUUCUUAUAAUUAAACAAUUAACAUAAGUUAUACAUAUUAAAAAUAUGCUAAAAUACUAAAUAUAAGUAUAAAAUUAAAGAGAGAAAAAGAAAAUAGAAUAAUUACAUGAAAAUGAAAAACGAAAAAGAAAAUAUAAUAAUUACAAGAAAAUGAAAAUGAGACCGUAUGGUAUAAAGGAAACCAACUCAAUCAUUUUUCCAGUGUUACAUUAGCAUCACCUUUAUUAUUGUGAGAUCCUCAUAAUCCUAACAAACAUCUCAAUCUCAUCAAAACAAUACGAAAAACCCUAUCAUAAUCAUUGGUGAUGCAAGAAUAAAAUUGAAAAUAAGAGGAAACACAGAUGAAUAGAGUGACAAAAUAAACAAGUUAGAGAUGUGUAACCUUCAAAAGAUCAACCUAUAUCAGAAAUCACUUGAUCUGUACAUUUGAUAGAUAAGAAAGAAAAUUACUCAUAAAAGAUAGAAAAAAAAGGAAAAUAUGACAAUUUUUCAGCAGUACGUAUUUUUUUACCCUUUGUAUUUUGUUUAUACAAUCAUAAAGUGAUUAUGAACCAGAGAUUUCUAUUAAAUAAUGCAAGCUAAAUAUUUAUAUUAAGUACAUCCUCAAUUAUAUAAAUCAAUCAAACAUGUAAUGAGUAACAAACCUUGACAUUAAUUAGUUUAGAAAGAUAUGUAUUGAACAUCAAAAUUAAUUAAAUAUAUACUUAUAUCCUAAAGAACAUAAAAUGUCAUCUUCUAUAUUCUGAUAAUUAAACAAUUAACAUAAGUUAUAUAGAUUAAAAAAUAUGCUAAAAUACUAAUUAUAAGUAGAAAAUGAAAAAGAAAAAAAGAAAAAAGAAUAAUUACAAGAAAAUGAAAAAGAAAAAAAGAAAAUAGAAUAAUUACAAGACAAUGAAAAUGAGACCGUAUGUAUUAAAGGAAACCAACCCAAUCAUUUUUCUAGUGUUACAUUAGCACCAACUUUAUUAUUGUGAGAUCCUCAUAAUCCUAACAAACAUCUCAAUCUCAUCAAAACAAUACGAAAAACCCUAUCAUAAUCAUUGGUGAUGCAAGAAUAAAAUUGAAAAUAAGAGGAAACACAGAUGAAUAGAGUGACAAAAUAAACAAGUUAGAGAUGUGUAACCUUCAAAAGAUCAACCUAUAUCAGAAAUCACUUGAUCUGUACAUUUGAUAGAUAAGAAAGAAAAUUACUCAUAAAAGAUAGAAAAAAAAGGAAAAUAUGACAAUUUUUCAGCAGUACGUAUUUUUUUAACCUUUGUAUUUUGUUUAUACAAUCAAAAAGUGAUUAUGAACCAGAAAUUUCUAUUAAAUAUUGUAAGCUAAAUAUUUAUAUUAAGUACAUCCUCAAUUAUAUAAAUCAAUCAAACAUGUAAUGAGUAACAAACCUUGACAUUAAUUAGUUUAGAAAGAUAUGUAUUGAACAUCAAAAUUAAUUAAAUAUAUACUUAUAUCCUAAAGAACAUAAAAUGUCAUCUUCUAUAUUCUGAUAAUUAAACGAUUAACAUAAGUUAUAUAGAUUAAAAAAUAUGCUAAAAUACUAAUUAUAAGUAGAAAAUGAAAAAGAAAAAAAGAAAAAAGAAUAAUUACAAGAAAAUGAAAAAGAAAAAAAGAAAAUAGAAUAAUUACAAGACAAUGAAAAUGAGACCGUAUGUAUUAAAGGAAACCAACCCAAUCAUUUUUCUAGUGUUACAUUAGCACCAACUUUAUUAUUGUGAGAUCCUCAUAAUCCUAACAAACAUCUCAAUCUCAUCAAAACAAUACGAAAAACCCUAUCAUAAUCAUUGGUGAUGCAAGAAUAAAAUUGAAAAUAAGAGGAAACACAGAUGAAUAGAGUGACAAAAUAAACAAGUUAGAGAUGUGUAACCUUCAAAAGAUCAACCUAUAUCAGAAAUCACUUGAUUCGUACAUUUGAUAGAUAAGAAAGAAAAUUACUCAUAAAAGAUAGAAAAAAAAGGAAAAUAUGACAAUUUUUCAGCAGUACGUAUUUUUUUAACCUUUGUAUUUUGUUUAUACAAUCAAAAAGUGAUUAUGAACCAGAAAUUUCUAUUAAAUAUUGUAAGCUAAAUAUUUAUAUUAAGUACAUCCUCAAUUAUAUAAAUCAAUCAAACAUGUAAUGAGUAACAAACCUUGACAUUAAUUAGUUUAGAAAGAUAUGUAUUGAACAUCAAAAUUAAUUAAAUAUAUACUUAUAUCCUAAAGAACAUAAAAUGUCAUCUUCUAUAUUCUUAUAAUUAAACAAUUAACAUAAGUUAUACAUAUUAAAAAUAUGCUAAAAUACUAAAUAUAAGUAGAAAAUGAACGAGAGAAAAAGAAAAUAGAAUAAUUACAAGAAAAUGAAAAACAAAAAAGAAAAUAUAAUAAUUACAAGAAAAUGAAAAUGAGACCGUAUGGUAUAAAGGAAACCAACUCAAUCAUUUUUCCAGUGUUACAUUAGCAUCACCUUUAUUAUUGUGAGAUCCUCAUAAUCCUUACAAACAUCUCAAUAUCAUAAAAACGAUAUGAAAAACCCUAUCAUAAUCAUUGGUGAUGGAAGAAUAAAAUUGAAAAUAAGAGGAAACACAGAUGAAUAGAGAGACAAAAUAAACAACUUAGAGAUGUGUAACCUUCAAAAGAUUAACCUAUAUCAGAAAUCAAUUGAUCCGUACAUUUGAUAGAUAAGAAAGAAAAUUACUCAUAAAAGAUAGAAAAAAAAGGAAAAUAUGACAAUUUUUCAGCAGUACGUCUUUUUUUAACCUUUGUAUUUUGUUUAUACAAUCAAAAAGUGAUUAUGAACCAGAAAUUUCUAUUAAAUAUUGUAAGCUAAAUAUUUAUAUUAAGUAAAUCCUCAAUUAUAUAAAUCAAUCACACAUGUAAUGAGUAACAAACCUUGACAUUAAUUAGUUUAGAAAGAUAUGUAUUGAACAUCAAAAUUAAUUAAAUAUAUACUUAUAUCCUAAAGAACAUAAAAUGUCAUCUUUUAUAUUCUGAUAAUUAAAUAAUUAACAUAAGUUAUAUAGAUUAAAAAAUAUGCUAAAAUAUUAAUGAUAAGUAGAAAAUGAAAAAGAAUAAUUACAAGAAAAUGAAAAAGAAAAAAAGAAAAUAGAAUAAUUACAAGAAAAUGAAAAUGAGACAGUACGUAUUAAAGGAAACCAACUCAAUCAUUUUUCCAGUGUUACAUUAGCACCACCUUUAUUAUUGUGAGAUCCUCAUAAUCCUAACAAACAUCUCAAUCUCUUCAAAACAAUACAAAAAACCCUAUCAUAAUCAUUGGUGACGUAGGAAAAAAUUGAAAAUAAGAGGAAACACAGAUGAAUAGAGCGACAAAAUAAACAUGUUAGAGAUGUGUAAGCUUCAAAAUAUCA
rnacentral:lncRNA from 1 species